AGCUUUGCACUGUGGCGAUAUCGUAACCAAUGAGGUUACACCGAGGUGCGAUUAUUGCUAAUUGAAAAAAAUCAUAUUUAAUAACGAGUCAUGUUUUCUAUUUAGAAUUUAGAGCAAUUUCAUUCAGAUAAUAGUUUAA